UGGAAUUCCCGAGGCGCCCGGGCCCGGCUCUGAAGGAAGGAGGACACAGAGUAUUCGCAAGGACAGAAAGAUGCCACUUUGGAAACCUUUUAAGCAGGGAAAUUCUGUGAGGGCUGUGAGGAUGGCGGUGUUUGGGGAUCAGAAGGGAGUGGUGAAUCCCGGGGCUGUCCCUGCAGGUCGGGCAGGACCAGCGCAUCCCGGCCCUUUGCCGCACAGGGAUGCUCUCAGCCCGAGCCCUUCGCUGGCAGGGUCUGCUUCCCAGGCCAUUCCAGCCCUUGUAACAUCAAUGUAUUCUCGGAUCCUACAUCACAUCUGCGCCUAUAAAGGUACACUUGAGGAAAUGGAGAUUUGGAUUGCUGGGAGAGAGAGAAAGGAGCAGUGGCUUUCCUAAGAUGAACCAGUGGCUUGACAAGGCAGGGGAGCAGCAUUUAUUCCUUUGCUUUGCACUCCUGCACUCUGGUGGAUGCACCAUGCAACUUUCAGACCUGCAAUAGAUACUCUCAAAACCAUCAGUGGAAUCAAGAAUUCCAGAGUCUAAAAUCAUGGACAGCAUCAGUAAACUACUUGAGCUGAUCUUGAACUCUGAACUCCAACUUCAGGGCACAUUUUAUAGCAGUUAAAUGCUAAUGUCAGUUCUGUUGGGACAUUUUUGCAUCUGUGUUGAAAAAGCCUUGAUGUACCAGCACUGUUUUUCUUCUGCUGUGUUUCACCUGAGCAAGCACCUUGGUCUGUCACUGAAGGGCACUGCACAAAGUACAUGUCAGAAGACAGAGGAACUGCAAGGUGUAGGGGACAGCCAGGGAAACUUUUAUUGGUCUGUUAGACUUCUACUUUUCUUUCAUUUGUUGUCAUCCUUCUUACCAUAGUGCUGUGAGAAAGCAAUGAUAAAUUAUAAUUGUGGAAGAAAGUGGUCUAGGUAACAAUUUCAGUCUGUAAAAACAUGUACUUGUCCCAUCUCAGUGUCAUUUUUGUGAGAAUAUCUACAAUCAGGAAAUGGCCCAUCUCUACUGUCAGUCAGCUGUCUGCUGCAAGAUGCAAUUCCAGAUGUGUAUCAGAAAACAGAUGUACAAGCUACAGAAAGCCAGAUAAGACAGCAACAAUAUUCAAUGGAUAAAGAAAUCCUACUGCAUACCAUCCUCUCCAUGCAUAAAAAAAUCGCUGCUUCUUUUCCCUCCAGGAAACUCUUCAGAACAAUGACAUGCCAUUUUCUGUUGUUGCAUGAAAUCUCCUUAAUUUAUUUGCCUAAUAAAUUCCCAGUACUUAUUUGAGGACCAUCAAGAUAUACUCCUGUACAGAAGCCAUCUGUUUGUUUAGACACAGAAAUAUCCUACAUUGUCACUUCUUGUUAGCUUUAUUUGCUAUUUCUGUUUCUUCUAUUUAUAACAGUGAGAUGCCUAUCACUUUUAACAUGCAAUUCCUCAUUUCUUGCUGAUCUAAGAUCAGGUCAAUCUAAGAUUUUCAGCCUUCCAGCAUGACAAACAGGAGGUACCAUGUAUUUUAAAUGUCCAAAGAAAGAAAUCAUUCCAGAAGGUGACAUAAAGGGGGUGACAAACACUGCCUGACCCAAAUGCCAACAAUAAGGAAUAGUCCUGUCAAGGCUAAUGAGAAUUCAAUCAGAACACCAAAUUAAUUUACAGGGUACAGAUGAGGAGAAGAGCCAGCAAGAGAAAUCUCAAACAGCAAAGGGUCAAGUGAAACAGAAAGCUGGUGGUCUAGUCCUCAGCUUCAUUUUAGUGAUCCUUGGAUGUCCAAGAGGUCUUGGUAUUAAAAAGGGCUGAUCUCAAGUGGGUUUUUUAUUUGAUUGUUUGUUUGGUUUGUUUGUUUGGGUUUUUGCUUGUUUUG